GUCUACGGCCCCACCACCCUGAACAUGCCUCAUCCCAUCUGAUCACGUCUGAUCUCGGAAGCUAAGCAGGGUUGGGCCUGGUUAGUCCUUGGAUGGGAGACCACCUAGGAAGACCAGCUGCUGUAGGCA
rnacentral:rRNA from 1 species